rnacentral:rRNA from 1 species
UCAGGACGAACGCUGGCGGCGUGCCUAAUACAUGCAAGUCGAGCGAAUGACGAGAAGCUUGCUUCUCUGAUUUAGCGGCGGACGGGUGAGUAACACGUGGGCAACCUGCCCUACAGAUUGGGAUAACUCAGGGAAACCUGGGCUAAUACCGAAUAAUCCUUCGAAUCACAUGUUUUGAAGUUGAAAGGCGCUUCGGCGUCACUGUAGGAUGGGCCCGCGGUGCAUUAGCUAGUUGGUGGGGUAACGGCCUACCAAGGCAACGAUGCAUAGCCGACCUGAGAGGGUGAUCGGCCACAUUGGGACUGAGACACGGCCCAAACUCCUACGGGAGGCAGCAGUAGGGAAUCUUCCACAAUGGACGAAAGUCUGAUGGAGCAACGCCGCGUGAGUGAUGAAGGUUUUCGGAUCGUAAAACUCUGUUGUAAGGGAAGAACAAGUACGUUAGGAAAUGAACGUACCUUGACGGUACCUUAUUAGAAAGCCACGGCUAACUACGUGCCAGCAGCCGCGGUAAUACGUAGGUGGCAAGCGUUGUCCGGAUUUAUUGGGCGUAAAGCGCGCGCAGGUGGUUUCUUAAGUCUGAUGUGAAAGCCCACGGCUCAACCGUGGAGGGUCAUUGGAAACUGGGGAACUUGAGUGCAGAAGAGGAUAGUGGAAUUCCAAGUGUAGCGGUGAAAUGCGUAGAGAUUUGGAGGAACACCAGUGGCGAAGGCGACUGUCUGGUCUGUAAC